rnacentral:sRNA from 1 species
UAUUCAAAGAAACCUUUAGCUGUUGGA